rnacentral:lncRNA from 10 species
UUUAGGUCCCCACAGGAGUUAGCAAGACUUCCUGGAGGACAGAGGCAACUGACCAGGUGGUAACAAAGGUGGCCACUCUGGACCAUUGCUUUGGUGUUGGUGCUUUGGAGAGUCAAGUCUGGACCCUAGUCCUGAAGAGUUCCAUCACCAUCACCACUGUGGAGCCUUGGGUCACCCUCAAUAUGGCAGGUAGGAAACUGAAUUCCUUAUGGAUACCAGAGCCCCCUACUCUGUCCUGACCCAUCCUGAUGGAUCUCUGUUCAGCGCCAGUUGUACAGUGAC